UACGGGGGGAGCAAGCGUUGUUCGGAUUUACUGGGCGUAAAGGGCGCGUAGGCGGCCUCCGCAAGUCAGUUGUGAAAUCUCCGAGCUUAACUCGGAAAGGUCAACUGAUACUGCGGGGCUAGAGUGCGGAAGGGGCAACUGGAAUUCUUGGUGUAGCGGUGAAAUGCGUAGAUAUCAAGAGGAACACCGGUGGCGAAGGCGGGUCUCUGGGCCGAUAUCGACGCUGAGGAGCGAAAGCGUGGGGAGCGAACAGG
rnacentral:rRNA from 1 species